rnacentral:rRNA from 1 species
CAGCAGCGCCGCGGUAACACAGAGGGUGCGAGCGUUAAUCGGAUUUACUGGGCGUAAAGCGUGCGUAGGCGGCUUUUUAAGUCGGAUGUGAAAUCCCUGAGCUUAACUUAGGAAUUGCAUUCGAUACUGGGAAGCUAGAGUAUGGGAGAGGAUGGUAGAAUUCCAGGUGUAGCGGUGAAAUGCGUAGAGAUCUGGAGGAAUACCGAUGGCGAAGGCAGCCAUCUGGCCUAAUACUGACGCUGAGGUACGAAAGCAUGGGGAGCAAACAGGAUUAGAGACCCGAGUAGUCCCUGUCUCUUAUACA